GAGAGGAGUAGUUCUAUAAAAUUUGAGAGGCUAAGUCCAAGAGUCUGUGGUCACAGCAGUGUGAUAGAUAGAAAAAAUUUUUAUGAGGAUCACAAUUGGAUUUGAGCUAAUCGAAUCUAUCAUAUGACUGAUGAUAAGAUUUGAUAAUUUAUCCAUGACCUGCUAUCUAGUCGGGACUCACGAUAGAGGGAAUGAAUCAUAUAUGAACUAUAC
rnacentral:lncRNA from 1 species